UAAAAAGGAUCAUCAUCGUCAUAUAAUUCCCUCUUUCUGCCAAUCGCUUUACAGGGGUUGCGCUGAGCAAAACCUCUACUACUAAUCUUGAUCUCCUUUCGUUGCUCUCUCACUCACUUCAAUUCGAAUUGGAAGAUCUCUGCAGCUGAGUGUGCUAGUACUGAUUUCGCCACUUUGAUCUCGCUCGAAUCUCUUAGGGUUGUUCAAUACCAAUCACUCAUUCGGUUCCUCUUUCGGAGAAUUCUCAUAUUUGAAAAUGCCUCUGAGGUUGGAGAUUAAGAGGAAACUUGCUCAAAGAUCAGAAAGGGUAAAGUGCGUGGAUCUACAUCCUACAGAGCCAUGGAUAUUGGCAAGUUUGUAUUCAGGGACUGUUUGCAUCUGGAACUACCAGACCCAGACAAUGGUUAAAUCUUUCGAAGUUACUGAAUUACCAGUUAGGUCAGCAAAGUUUAUAGCACGCAAGCAGUGGGUUGUUGCUGGUGCUGACGAUAUGUUUAUUCGUGUAUACAAUUACAAUACCAUGGACAAGGUCAAAGUCUUUGAGGCGCACACUGAUUAUAUUAGGUCUGUGGCUGUUCACCCUACUCUACCAUAUGUGCUGUCAUCUUCUGAUGACAUGCUUAUAAAGCUCUGGGACUGGGAUAAGGGAUGGGUAUGCACUCAAAUUUUUGAGGGUCAUUCCCAUUAUGUGAUGCAAGUCACAUUUAAUCCGAAAGACACCAAUACAUUUGCCAGUGCAUCUCUUGAUCGGACUAUAAAGAUUUGGAACCUCGGCUCCCCUGACCCAAACUUCACGUUGGAUGCGCAUCUGAAAGGGGUUAAUUGUGUAGACUAUUUCACUGGUGGUGAUAAACCUUAUCUGAUAACGGGUUCUGAUGACCACACUGCUAAGGUGUGGGACUAUCAGACAAAAAGUUGUGUCCAGACUCUUGAAGGCCAUACACACAAUGUGUCCGCCGUAUGUUUUCAUCCUGAGCUUCCUAUUAUAAUUACGGGAUCUGAAGAUGGUACAGUUCGUAUAUGGCAUGCAACCACUUAUAGACUUGAGAACACUUUGAAUUACGGUCUUGAAAGAGUUUGGGCAAUUGGUUACAUGAGAAGUUCAAGAAGGGUUGUAAUCGGUUAUGAUGAGGGAACUAUCAUGGUAAAAAUUGGUCGAGAAGAACCAGUUGCCAGCAUGGAUAACAGUGGAAAAAUUAUAUGGGCUAAGCACAAUGAAGUUCAAACAGUCAACAUCAAGAGUGUGGGGGCGGAUUAUGAGGUUACUGAUGGAGAAAGGUUGCCUUUGGCUGUCAAGGAAUUGGGAACUUGUGACCUCUAUCCACAAAGCUUGAAGCAUAACCCAAAUGGAAGGUUCGUUGUUGUUUGUGGAGAUGGAGAGUAUAUCAUAUAUACUGCUCUAGCAUGGAGAAAUAGGUCAUUUGGUUCAGCACUGGAAUUUGUUUGGUCUUCUGAUGGAGAAUAUGCUGUUAGGGAAAGUACGUCAAGGAUUAAGAUCUUCAGCAAAAAUUUCCAGGAAAAGAAGAGCAUCCGUCCUACUUUCUCAGCUGAGCGCAUCUAUGGAGGUACUCUAUUGGCGAUGUGCUCAAAUGAUUUUAUUUGCUUUUAUGAUUGGGCUGACUGCAGGCUGAUACGGCGAAUUGAUGUUAAUGUGAAGAACCUGUACUGGGCUGACAGUGGUGAUAUGGUGGCAAUUGCAAGUGAUACAUCCUUCUACAUACUUAAGUACAAUCGUGAUGUGGUUUCUGCCCAUUUAGAUAGUGGAAGAUCAGUAGAUGAGCAAGGCGUUGAAGAAGCUUUUGAACUUCUUUAUGAGAUAAAUGAACGGGUCAGGACGGGAAUUUGGGUUGGCGAUUGCUUCAUUUACAAUAAUUCUUCAUGGAGACUUAACUACUGUGUCGGCGGUGAGGUGACCACAAUGUUUCAUUUAGACCGGCCUAUGUACCUGCUUGGAUAUCUGGCUAACCAGAGUAGGGUUUUCCUGAUUGACAAAGAGUUCAAUGUCAUUGGAUAUACUUUACUGCUCAGCUUGAUCGAAUACAAGACACUUGUGAUGCGUGAUGACUGGGACAGAGCAAAUGAGUUGCUGCCAUCGAUUCCUAAGGAGCACCAUAAUAGUGUUGCUCGUUUCUUGGAGUCGCGAGGUAUGGUAGAGGAAGCAUUAGAAGUUGCAACAGAGCCUGACUACAGAUUUGAACUAGCCAUACAGCUGGGAAAAUUAGAUAUUGCAAAGGAUAUUGCAGUGGUAGCUCAGAGUGAGUCCAAGUGGAAGCAGUUGGGUGAACUAGCCAUGUCUGCUGGAAUGCUGGAGAUGGCAGAGGAAUGUCUGAAGUUUGCCAAUGACUUGAGUGGUCUGUUGCUACUCUAUUCUUCACUAGGAGAUGCUGAAGGAAUAACUGAACUGGCAAAUUUUGCCAAAGAGCAGGGGAAAAACAAUGUCACAUUCCUCUGCAUGUUCCUUUUGGGUAAAGUGGAGGAAUGCAUUCAGCUAUUGGUUGAUAGCAACCGGAUACCUGAGGCUGCUUUUAUGGCUAGAUCUUAUCUGCCAAGUAAGGUUUCUGAAAUAGUUGCAAUUUGGAGGAAGGAUCUCAGUAAGGUUAACCAGAAAGCAGCAGAAGCUUUGGCUGAUCCUGAAGAAUAUCCUAAUCUGUUUGAGAACUGGCAAGUUGCAUGUGCUGUUGAAGCUAGAGUUGCAGAGGAAAGGGGUGGCUACCCACCAGCAACUGAGUAUUUAAAUCAUGCUGAUAGAUCAACUAACAACCUUGUAGAGGCUUUCAACAACAUGAGAAUGGAUGAAGAUCCACUUGAAAAUGGAGAUACGGACCACGAGGUUGCACAACAGAGUGGUGAUGAGGUACAAGAAUUGGAGGCAGAUGAUGCACAAAAUGAGGAACAAGAAGAGGCUGUGGUCGUGGAUGCUGACUCUACUGACGGUGCAGUACUCAUUAAUGGAAACGAGGCAGACGAAGAGUGGGGUACGAAUAGUGAAGGAAAACCGUCAGCCUAAAAGCAAUUGGUUAGGCCGGUGUGAAAAUCCUAGUUUUGUUGCUGUGCUUACACCACGUCACUAGGUUCAUUCAAGAUGGUUCCAGGCUUCCAGCUGUAUGUAAUUCGUUCUUGUGGUUCUAUAGGUGUUUCCUUAAAAGAGGGCGAUCAAGGGACCGAGGAUGUAUGUUCCGCCAGUGGUGAGCAUUGAGUUUUGUAGGCAUACUGGAUGUAUGUUCCCAGCUUUGGUUGUUAGCUUUAGUCACUUAUAGUUGUUUUAUAAUAUUCUUUCGAGGCUUACAUUUUUCACCCUUCAAAAUCCUUACAUGCCAUUGUCACUGUAGAAAACACUUAAAACCAUAUACGGAAGUGGAGCUAGUGCAGAAAUUGUUAAGCUCCAUGUCGGCAUGUCCUGUGCCAUACCCCGCUAUAAUUAUGUUCAGCUUACCCGUUAAUCCACUCCCAUUAGUUGCAACACUUGAAAA